UAUGAAUAAGGAUCGGCUAACUCCGUGCCAGCAGCCGCGGUAAUACGGAGGAUCCGAGCGUUAUCCGGAUUUAUUGGGUUUAAAGGGUGCGUAGGCGGCCUUUUAAGUCAGCGGUGAAAGUCUGUGGCUCAACCAUAGAAUUGCCGUUGAAACUGGGGGGCUUGAGUAUGUUUGAGGCAGGCGGAAUGCGUGGUGUAGCGGUGAAAUGCAUAGAUAUCACGCAGAACCCCGAUUGCGAAGGCAGCCUGCCAAGCCAUGACUGACGCUGAUGCACGAAAGCGUGGGGAUCAAACAGGAUUAGAUACCCUGGUAGUCCACGCAGUAAACGAUGAUCACUAGCUGUUUGCGAUACACUGUAAGCGGCACAGCGAAAGCGUUAAGUGAUCCACCUGGGGAGUACGCCGGCAACGGUGAAACUCAAAGGAAUUGACGGGGGCCCGCACAAGCGGAGGAACAUGUGGUUUAAUUCGAUGAUACGCGAGGAACCUUACCCGGGUUUGAACGCAUUCGGACCGAGGUGGAAACACCUUUUCUAGCAAUAGCCGUUUGCGAGGUGCUGCAUGGUUGUCGUCAGCUCGUGCCGUGAGGUGUCGGCUUAAGUGCCAUAACGAGCGCAACCCUUGCCACUAGUUACUAACAGGUAAAGCUGAGGACUCUGGUGGGACUGCCAGCGUAAGCUGCGAGGAAGGCGGGGAUGACGUCAAAUCAGCACGGCCCUUACAUCCGGGGCGACACACGUGUUACAAUGGCGUGGACAAAGGGAGGCCACCUGGUGACAGGGAGCGAAUCCCCAAACCACGUCUCAGUUCGGAUCGGAGUCUGCAACCCGACUCCGUGAAGCUGGAUUCGCUAGUAAUCGCGCAUCAGCCAUGGCGCGGUGAAUACGUUCCCGGGCCUUGUACACACCGCCCGUCAAGCCAUGGGAGCCGGGGGUACCUGAAGUCCGUAACCGAAAGGAUCGGCCUAGGGUAAAACUGGUGACUGGGGCUAAGUCGUAACAAGGUAGCCGUACCGGAAGGUGCGGCUGGAACACCUCCUUUCU
rnacentral:rRNA from 1 species